GGACUACAGGGGUAUCUAAUCCUGUUUGCUCCCCACACUUUCGCGCCUCAGCGUCAGUUCCUGUCCAGGUGGCCGCCUUCGCCACCGGUGUUCCUCCUGAUAUCUACGGAUUUCACUCCUACACCAGGAAUUCCGCCACCCUCUCCAGGACUCAAGUCUAACAGUAUCAAACGCAGUUCCCCGGUUGAGCCGAGGGAUUUCACGCCUGACUUAUCAAACCGCCUACGCGCGCUUUACGCCCAGUAAUUCCGAUUAACGCUUGCGCCCUCCGUAUUACCGCGGCUGCUGGCAC
rnacentral:rRNA from 1 species